GAAAACACUGAAGAUCACUCAGUACUGGUGAGCAGGGAGUCCAAAUGACAUUUUCUGACCACCCAGCUUCACACAUGAUUCCUGAAUGGAAAAAGCAAUAUAUAAGCUAUGAGACCCUGAAAUCUCUGUUGAACAAGGAAGAUAGGCUUAGGCUCAUUUGUUAUGGAAACCGACAAAGGUCUGUGAAAAAAGAGUUCUUCAAAACCUGUGAGGAAGAGCUGAACAAGGUGAACCUCUUCUUUUCAG